AGUGAUCUACUAGCAAAAUUUUUGCUUCCUGUUUCCAUGACAUUACAUUCUGCUGGCCUAGAGUUCUUAGUUCCAGAAGGAGAAUGCUGCCACCAGGAGACACAACAAUGAUUCUGUUAAGCUGGAAGUUAAGAUUGCCACCUGGAAACUUUGGGCUCCUCUUACCUUUAAGGCAACAGGCUAAGAAAGGAGUUACAGUGUUAUCUGGGGUGAUUGACCAGGACUGUGAAUAUGAAAUCAGUCUACUACUCCACAACGGAGUGAUCAUUCAACACCUGACCUGGAGGAAUUCAGAAUUCAGCGGGGGUACAUUCUCAGCUGAGAGAAGACAGAAAUAAAACUAAAAGCUAAUUCUCUCUGGACUUGGAGAGGAAGGAGUAUCAGAGAAGCAGAGAAGAGAAAAAAGCUUAGAAAGCAGGAAAGAAGCUGAAAGCAUUUGGAAGACAUCGUGAACUCUUUGAAGGCAGAAACUAAAUGAAAUUCACCUUCAUAUUUACAGGGACCAGCACAGCCUCUAGAAUAGAAUGGGUGCUCAAAUCAAUAUUUCUUUAAAAGAAUAAAUGAAUGAAUAAAUAAAUGAAUGCAAGUGGAAGAUAAUUAUUGAUGACAUAUUUUUUAAACAAUAAAUAAAUUGAUGUAUCUUGUAUAUC